rnacentral:rRNA from 1 species
CAGUAGCCGCGGUAAUACGAAGGGGGCUAGCGUUGCUCGGAAUUACUGGGCGUAAAGGGCGCGUAGGCGGCGCUCCAAGUUAGGCGUGAAAUUCCCGGGCUCAACCUGGGGACUGCGCUUAAGACUGGAGUGCUUGAGGAUGGAAGAGGGUUGUGGAAUUCCCAGUGUAGAGGUGAAAUUCGUAGAUAUUGGGAAGAACACCGGUGGCGAAGGCGGCAACCUGGUCCAUUACUGACGCUGAGGCGCGAUAGCGUGGGGAGCAAACAGGAUUAGAGACCCCGGUAGUCCCUGUCUCUUAUAC